rnacentral:rRNA from 1 species
GUGAACGCUGGCGGUAGGCCUAACACAUGCAGGUCGAACGGCAGCACAGUAAGAGCUUGCUCUUACGGGUGGCGAGUGGCGGACGGGUGAGGAAUACAUCGGAAUCUACUUUUUCGUGGGGGAUAACGUAGGGAAACUUACGCUAAUACCGCAUACGACCUACGGGUGAAAGCAGGGGAUCUUCGGACCUUGCGCGAUUGAAUGAGCCGAUGUCGGAUUAGCUAGUUGGCGGGGUAAAGGCCCACCAAGGCGACGAUCCGUAGCUGGUCUGAGAGGAUGAUCAGCCACACUGGAACUGAGACACGGUCCAGACUCCUACGGGAGGCAGCAGUGGGGAAUAUUGGACAAUGGGCGCAAGCCUGAUCCAGCCAUACCGCGUGGGUGAAGAAGGCCUUCGGGUUGUAAAGCCCUUUUGUUGGGAAAGAAAAGCGGCAGGUUAAUACCCCGCUGUUCUGACGGUACCCAAAGAAUAAGCACCGGCUAACUUCGUG